CGAACGCUGGCGGCGUGCCUAAUACAUGCAAGUCGAACGAAGCUUUCUUUCACCGAAUGCUUGCAUUCACCGAAAGAAGCUUAGUGGCGAACGGGUGAGUAACACGUAGGCAACCUGCCCAAAAGAGGGGGAUAACACUUGGAAACAGGUGCUAAUACCGCAUAACCAUGAACACCGCAUGAUGUUCAUGUAAAAGACGGCUUUUGCUGUCACUUUUGGAUGGGCCUGCGGCGUAUUAACUUGUUGGUGGGGUAACGGCCUACCAAGGUGAUGAUACGUAGCCGAACUGAGAGGUUGAUCGGCCACAUUGGGACUGAGACACGGCCCAAACUCCUACGGGAGGCAGCAGUAGGGAAUCUUCCACAAUGGACGAAAGUCUGAUGGAGCAACGCCGCGUGAAUGAAGAAGGCCUUCGGGUCGUAAAAUUCUGUUGUCAGAGAAGAACGUGCGUGAGAGUAACUGUUCACGUAUUGACGGUAUCUGACCAGAAAGCCACGGCUAACUACGUGCCAGCAGCCGCGGUAAUACGUAGGUGGCGAGCGUUGUCCGGAUUUAUUGGGCGUAAAGGGAACGCAGGCGGUCUUUUAAGUCUGAUGUGAAAGCCUUCGGCUUAACCGAAGUAGUGCAUUGGAAACUGGAAGACUUGAGUGCAGAAGAGGAGAGUGGAACUCCAUGUGUAGCGGUGAAAUGCGUAGAUAUAUGGAAGAACACCAGUGGCGAAAGCGGCUCUCUGGUCUGUAACUGACGCUGAGGUUCGAAAGCGUGGGUAGCAAACAGGAUUAGAUACCCUGGUAGUCCACGCCGUAAACGAUGAGUGCUAAGUGUUGGAGGGUUUCCGCCCUUCAGUGCUGCAGCUAACGCAUUAAGCACUCCGCCUGGGGAGUACGGUCGCAAGACUGAAACUCAAAGGAAUUGACGG
rnacentral:rRNA from 1 species